rnacentral:tRNA from 1 species
GCCCGGGUGGCGGAACGGCAGACGCGCGGGACUCAAAAUCCCGUGCUCAUAUAGAGCAUGUGGGUUCGAUUCCCACCCCGGGCA